GCUUAACACAUGCAAGUCGAACGGCAGCACAGCCAAGCUUGCUUGGUGGGUGGCGAGUGGCGGACGGGUGAGGAAUACGUCGGAAUCUGCCCUGUUGUGGGGGAUAACGUAGGGAAACUUACGCUAAUACCGCAUAAGACAGUGAUGUGAAAGCGGGGGACCUGCGAGGGCCUCGCGCGAUGGGAUGAGCCGACGUCGGAUUAGCUUGUUGGUGGGGUAAAGGCCUACCAAGGCGACGAUCCGUAGCUGGUCUGAGAGGAUGAUCAGCCACACUGGGACUGAGACACGGCCCAGACUCCUACGGGAGGCAGCAGUGGGGAAUAUUGGACAAUGGGCGCAAGCCUGAUCCAGCAAUGCCGCGUGUGUGAAGAAGGCCUUCGGGUUGUAAAGCACUUUUAUCAGGAACGAAAAGGUGUCGGCGAAUACCCGGCACUGCUGACGGUACCUGAGGAAUAAGCACCGGCUAACUUCGUGCCAGCAGCCGCGGUAAUACGAAGGGUGCAAGCGUUAAUCGGAAUUACUGGGCGUAAAGGGUGUGUAGGUGGCCUGUUAAGUCUGUCGUGAAAGCCCUGGGCUCAACCUGGGAAUGGCGGUGGAUACUGGCGGGCUCGAGUACGGUAGAGGGUGGUGGAAUUCCCGGUGUAGCGGUGAAAUGCGUAGAGAUCGGGAGGAACAUCAGUGGCGAAGGCGGCCACCUGGACCAGUACUGACACUGAGACACGAAAGCGUGGGGAGCAAACAGGAUUAGAUACCCUGGUAGUCCACGCCCUAAACGAUGCGAACUGGACGUUGGUUGCAACUUGGCAAUCAGUGUCGAAGCUAACGCGUUAAGUUCGCCGCCUGGGGAGUACGGUCGCAAGACUGAAACUCAAAGGAAUUGACGGGGGCCCGCACAAGCGGUGGAGUAUGUGGUUUAAUUCGAUGCAACGCGAAGAACCUUACCUGGCCUUGACAUGUCUGGAAUCCUGCAGAGAUGCGGGAGUGCCUUCGGGAAUCAGAACACAGGUGCUGCAUGGCUGUCGUCAGCUCG
rnacentral:rRNA from 1 species